rnacentral:tRNA from 1 species
GCCCCCGUGGUGGAAUUGGCAGACACAAUGGAUUCAAAAUCCAUCGGCCUCACGGCCAUACCGGUUCAACUCCGGUCGGGGGUA